GACAUGUCCGGAAUCCCGAAGAGAUUUGGGAGUGCUCGCAAGAGAACCGGAACACAGGUGCUGCAUGGCUGUCGUCAGCUCGUGUCGUGAGAUGUUGGGUUAAGUCCCGCAACGAGCGCAACCCUUGUCAUUAGUUGCCAUCAUUUGGUUGGGCACUCUAAUGAGACUGCCGGUGACAAACCGGAGGAAGGUGGGGAUGACGUCAAGUCCUCAUGGCCCUUAUAGGUGGGGCUACACACGUCAUACAAUGGAUGGUACAAAGGGUCGCCAACCCGCAGGGGGAGCCAAUCCCAUAAAGCCAUUCGUAGUCCGGAUCGCAGUCUGCAACUCGACUGCGUGAAGUCGGAAUCGCUAGUAAUCGUGGAUCAGAAUGUCACGGUGAAUACGUUCCCGGGUCUU
rnacentral:rRNA from 1 species